rnacentral:lncRNA from 1 species
UUCCCAUGGGCCAGGAAUGGCGACGUCCGCACUGCGCAGGCGCAGCGUGACGCCGCUCUCGUCUUUUCAGCUGAGGUCCUGAUUGGACAGAUCCAAUGGCCCCGCCUCUUUAUCACUGAGUGACAGCAGAGCAGGAAGGGGCGUGGUUGAGCUGGUCUGGCUUCAGUCCGGCUUGUCCCCGCCAGGACGUUUGCAUUUAAACCGAAUGUGUUCUUUGCCUCCCAUCCAUUUUAGGUGUUCUCUUCAGUACUGUUAAAUACAUUCACAUUGUGAAGCCAAUUUCCAGAAUUGUUUUCAUCUUGCAACACUGAAAUCUGUCUCGUUGCACAACUCCCCGUGCACCUCUUCCCUCAGGGUCUUUUGCAACCUCCAUUCCAUUGUCUGAGUUCGUGAAUUUGACUGUGGGAAUCUCAUGUAAAUGGCAUCAUAAAGUAUUUGUCCUUUUCUGACGUGCUUAUUUCACUUAGCAUAAUGUCCUCGAGCUUCACCUUGUAGUAAGUGUUAGGAUUUAUUUCUUCUUUUUUUUUUUUUUUUUUAGACGGNNNNNNNNNNGAGACGGAGUCUCGCUCUGUCGCCCAGGCUGUAGUGCCGUGGCGCAUCUCGGCUCACUGCAAGCUCCGCCUCCCGGGUUGACGCCAUUCUCCUGCCUCAGCCUCACGAGUAGCUGGGACUACAGGCGCCCACCACCACGCCCGGCUAAUUUUUUGUAUUUUUUUAGUAGAGACGGGGUUUCACUGUGUUAGCCAGGAUGGUCUCGAUCUCCUGACCUCGUGAUCCGCCCGCCUCGGCCUCCCAAAGCGUUGGGAUUACAGGCGUGAGCCACCGCGCCCGGCCUCUUCUUCUUCUUUUUUUUUUUUUUAAGAGACAGGGUUUUGCUCUGUAGCCCAGGCUGAAGUGCAGUGGUGUGAUCAUUGCUCACUGCAGUCUUCAACUCCUGGAUUCAAGCAAGCCUCCAACCUGAGCCUCCUAAGUAUCUGGGACUACAGGCACGCACUACCAGGCCUGGCUAAUUGUUUUUUGAUCUGUCACUGGUUUCCUUUGAGCACUUCCCUACUUUCUGGCCUAACAUAAGAUGAUGAACAUGAGAUGUUCCAAGCUUAUCUUGUAUUUUCUCUGCUCCAGCCCUGGAACUAGCCAUUUUUCUUAGAAGCAGGGGUGGAGAGCACCCUCCCCCCAUGCACCUUCACUAGGCCCCAGUGGGAAGAACUGCUGCCCAUCUGCUCAGGUGUGGUGAAACUAGCAAAGAGUCUCCUGGCUGCCUGCGGAGAGUCUCUGUAUGUGGUCCUCAGCCCAGCCUGGGGGCUCCUGGGC